AGUGAACGCUGGCGGUAUGCCUAACACAUGCAAGUCGAACGGCAGCACACUAAGAUCUUGCUCUUACGGGUUGCGGGUCGCGGACGGGUGAGGAAUACAUCCGAAUCUACUUUUUCGGGUGGGUUAACGUAGGGAAACUUACGCUAAUACCGCAUACGACCUUCGGGUGAAAGCAUGGGAUCUUCUGACCUUGCGCGAUUGAAUUAGCCGAUGUCGGAUUAGCUAGUUGGCGGGGUAAAGGCCCACCAAGUCGACGAUCCGUAGCUCGUCUGAGAGGAUGAUAAGCGGCACUGGAAGGGGGACAGGGACCAGACUACUACGGGAGGGCGCAGACGGGAAUAGUGGACAAUGGGCGCAAGCCUUGUCCAGCCAGACCAAGUGGGUUGAGAAGACCUUCGGGUUGUAAAGACGGUUUGUUGGGAAAGAAAAGCUGCCGGUUAUUACCCCGCUGUACUGACGGUACCGAAAGAAUAAGCACCGGCUAACUUCGUG
rnacentral:rRNA from 1 species